CCUCCACUCCAGGAGCAGCUCACCAAAGGGGCUGAGUUAGAAAUAUAAGAAAAUGGACAAUCUUCAAAAUGCCCAAGAUUAAACGAACAUUGUGCAAAUGCUGGUUCAUCAAUAAAACAAAUUCCUUGCAAUGGUUCCUGAAAGAUCAUUCAGUGAGUCUCAGUGCCAGCCUUGAAUUUCAUGUUGAAAUGACAGCAUCUUUGUAAAUAGUGCCUUCAGAGUUUGGGGUUUAUGGUCAGUUGAACAAGAAGAGGAGCAGUUCACUCAUUAUCACGGUUCUCCAGCCUGUAGAUGAUCUGAUUUUUCUCAGAGUUGCCUCGGAUUGCCUGAGUGACUAGCAGAAGAGUCAUUUGUGAGUCUUUUCCAUUUCUACAGCUCUUUUUCUUUGUAAGUACAUUAAAAUGUGUGCUUCACCACA